rnacentral:ncRNA from 1 species
CAUUUGCAUACGAAUUAUGGUUUCUGUUGGAAAACAUUCCUUCAGGAUUAAAAGGGAAUUCGGUGCUUGGUUUUGAUUUUUGAAACUAAUAUUCCGAAACUGUCCCCGCAACUGUAAGUCCAAUUUUUUAUUGAAUUGCAUUACCCUUGCCACUGACCGCUAGCUAGCGGUUGGGAAGGCCGCAACUUCAAAGGACGAGUCAGGAGACCUGCCAUAACCUAUAAUUAUUU